UAGAUUGAAGCCAGUUGGUUAGGAUAUUUAGCUGUUAACUAAGUUUCCGUGGGUUUGAAUCCCACCAAUCUAG
rfam:Chlorocebus sabaeus isolate 1994-021 chromosome 25, whole genome shotgun sequence.